rnacentral:rRNA from 1 species
GAUGAACGCUGGCGGCGUGCCUAAUACAUGCGAGUCGAGCGAACAGACGAGGAGCUUGCUCCUUUGACGUUAGCGGCGGACGGGUGAGUAACACGUAGGUAACCUACCUAUAAGACUGGGAUAACUUCGGGAAACCGGAGCUAAUACCGGAUAAUAUUUCGAACCGCAUGGUUCGAUAGUGAAAGAUGGCUUUGCUAUCACUUAUAGAUGGACCUGCGCCGUAUUAGCUAGUUGGUAAGGUAACGGCUUACCAAGGCAACGAUACGUAGCCGACCUGAGAGGGUGAUCGGCCACACUGGAACUGAGACACGGUCCAGACUCCUACGGGAGGCAGCAGUAGGGAAUCUUCCGCAAUGGGCGAAAGCCUGACGGAGCAACGCCGCGUGAGUGAUGAAGGUCUUCGGAUCGUAAAACUCUGUUAUUAGGGAAGAACAAACGUGUAAGUAACUGUGCACGUCUUGACGGUACCUAAUCAGAAGGCCACGGCUAACUACGUG